rnacentral:rRNA from 1 species
AACGUAGGUGGCGAGCGUUAUCCGGAUUUAUUGGGCGUAAAGAGCUCGUAGGCGGUGUGUCACGUCGGCCGUGAAAACCUGCAGCUUAACUGUGGGCGUGCGGUCGAUACGGGCAUCACUGGAGUUCGGCAGGGGAGACUGGAAUUCCUGGUGUAGCGGUGAAAUGCGCAGAUAUCAGGAGGAACACCGGUGGCGAAGGCGGGUCUCUGGGCCGAUACUGACGCUGAGGAGCGAAAGCGUGGGGAGCGAACAGG